AUGGCAUGAAACUAAACUGACCACAGGUUUCAUUGUGACAAGGGGCACAAAACUUGUGGCCUUCCUAUGAACAAAUACCAAACAUGU
ensembl:snoRNA